AAUUAGGCAUAUGUGAUCCUUUUUAUUGAAGAGAUAUAAAAGGGAGCAAGCAGUCUCAUGAUACAUUCCUCCCAUUUCUAAAAACCCAUGAAACAUGAGUCAAACUUGUCAUCUAUAGAUUCCUUACUCAUGUAUCAUUGUCCCAGAAAGAAUUUGUAAGGAUUGGAAGCAAAGAAAAUUUUUAGAAGCGAAAAGGAAGAGAAAGGAAAAAUUUCUGAACUUGGGUCGACCCAACCC
rnacentral:lncRNA from 1 species